GACGAACGCUGGCGGCGUGCCUAAUACAUGCAAGUCGAACGCAGUGGGGACGGGUGAGUAACACGUGGGUAACCUCCCAUCAGAGGGGAUAACACUUGGAAACAGGUGCUAAACCGAUACUGAUGGAUGGACCCGCGGUGCAUUAGCUAGUUGGUGAGGUAACGGCUCACCAAGGCCACGAUGCAUAGGCGACCUGGGGGGGGGAUCGGCCACCCGUGGACUUGGACACGGCCCAGACUCCUACGGGAGGGAGCAGUAGGGAAUCUUCGGCAAUGGACGAAAGUCUGACCGAGCAACGCCGCGUGAGUGAAGAAGGUUUUCGGAUCGUAAAGCGCUGUUGUAAGAGAAGCGGUAUCUUACCAGAAAGGGACGGCUAACUACGUGCCAGCCGCCGCGGUAAUAC
rnacentral:rRNA from 1 species